GGAUCAUUAAAGAGAUAGGGUCUUCACGGCCCGACCUCCAACCCUCUGUUGUUAAAACUACCUUGUUGCUUUGGCGGGACCGUCUCGGUCUCCGAGCGCACUAACCUUCGGGUUGGUGAGUGCCCGCCAGAGUCCAACCAAACUCUUGUAUUAAACCAGUCGUCUGAGUAUAAAAUUUUAAUUAAAUUAAAACUUUCAACAACGGAUCUCUUGGUUCUCGCAUCGAUGAAGAACGCAGCGAAAUGCGAUAAGUAAUGUGAAUUGCAGAAUUCAGUGAAUCAUCGAAUCUUUGAACGCACAUUGCGCCCCUUGGUAUUCCGAGGGGCAUGCCUGUUCGAGCGUCAUUACACCACUCAAGCAUCGCUUGGUAUUGGGAACGGUCCGUCGAAAGGCGGGCCUUCCUCGAAGACCUCGGCGGGGUUCAACCAACUUCGGGCGUAGUAGAGUUAAAUCGAACGUCUUAUAAGCUUGGUCGGAUCUCAUUGCCGUUAAACCUUUUUAAAUUUUUCUAGGUUGACCUCGGAUCAGGUAGGGAUACCCGCUGAACUUCAAGCAUAUUCAUAAGCGGAGGAAAG
rnacentral:rRNA from 1 species